rnacentral:rRNA from 1 species
UACGAAGGGGGCUAGCGUUGCUCGGAAUCACUGGGCGUAAAGGGUGCGUAGGCGGGUCUUAAGUCAGGGGUGAAAUCCUGGAGCUCAACUCCAGAACUGCCUUUGAUACUGGAGAGCUUGAGUCCGGAAGAGGUGAGUGGAACUCCGAGUGUAGAGGUGAAAUUCGUAGAUAUUCGGAAGAACACCAGUGGCGAAGGCGGCUCACUGGUCCGGUACUGACGCUGAUGUGCGAAAGCGUGGGGAGCAAACAGG